rnacentral:pre_miRNA from 1 species
UUGUCAUUUAACCAUGUUUGUUUAAUAUCAUGGAAUAAUUGGCCUUAUUUGUGAGCUGUUGGAUUCGGGGCCGUAGCACUGUCUGAGAGGUUUACAUUUCUCACAGUGAACCGGUCUCUUUUUCAGCUGCUUCCUGGCUUCUUUUUACUC